AAAUUCUGGUGUUAAUAAAAUGGCUAUUAAAGCAUGGAACUCCAUGAGUAAUGAAGAUAAACAACAUUAUUUGGAUAAAGCAGCUAAGCGCAAGGCAAAACAUGAGAAACUUAAGAAAAAAGGCUGACUAGAAUUGAAUUGUUAUUCAUGUGACACCUUAAGAUUAGUGGCCACUAUGAAGACAUCCUCCACUGAAUCUAUGAUAGCCACCAAAUUCUGCAAUCUUGCAGGCAGAACAUUAUGAAGAUGAUUGCGGAUAAGCAACGGCACAAGACAAAGGAGAUU